UCCCCCCAGGUGUCCCAGGUGUGGCACCUGGAGCGCAGCUUCUCCCGCCUCUGGAGCCAGUGCCAGCGCUGCCAGGGCUCCCUGCUCCAGGACGUUCUUUGCACCAGCCGGGACUGCCCCAUUUUCUACAUGCGCCGCAAAGUGCAGAAGGACCUGGAGGCGCAGCAGGAGCUCCUCAAACGCUUCGGGGUGCCCGACUGGUGAUGAUCCCACCCCCAAAAAUCCCAAAAUCCCCCCAAAAAAAUUCCGGGAAUCCCCAAAAAAAAAAAAAUCCCGGUGUUUUUGGGAGUUUGGAUGAGUUUUUUAUCACCCCCCCCGCGGUUUUGUAUGGGAAAUUUAAUAAAGGUUUGGUUUUUUGUGGUU